GUUCCUGAUCCUAUAGUGAUCCUUUAAAUUUGGAAUUCUCACUAUACAGAAUACCUUGUAAGUGUUAUGGGAAUGGAUGAAUAGUGGCAGUUUAAGUGUAAAUCCCACUAAUCUCAAGCAGACACAGUCCUAGAUUAGAGCCCCCAAACUGCACAGAUGCAAUACAUGCAUUAUUUGCUGUUCAUUACAGGAGAUAACUGCACAGAUGAG